UGGGGAAUUGUUCGCAAUGGGCGCGAGCCUGACGACGCAACGCCGCGUGGAGGAUGAAGGUCUUCGGAUUGUAAACUCCUGUUGCUCGGGACGAAAAGCUUCGACCUAACACGUCGAAGUCUGACGGUACCGAGUGAGGAAGCCCCGGCUAACUCUGUGCCAGCAGCCGCGGUAAUACAGAGGGGGCAAGCGUUGUUCGGAAUUACUGGGCGUAAAGGGCGCGUAGGCGGCCUGCUAAGUCGAACGUGAAAUCCCUGGGCUCAACCCAGGAACUGCGUCCGAUACUGGUUGGCUUGAAUCCGGGAGAGGGAUGUGGAAUUCCAGGUGUAGCGGUGAAAUGCGUAGAUAUCUGGAGGAACACCGGUGGCGAAGGCGACAUCCUGGACCGGCAUUGACGCUGAGGCGCGAAAGCUAGGGGAGCAAACGGGAUUAGAUACCCCGGUAGUCCUGGCCCUAAACGAUGAAUGCUUGGUGUGGUGGGUAUCGAUCCCUACCGUGCCGAAGCUAACGCAUUAAGCAUUCCGCCUGGGCAGUACGGUCGCAAGGCUG
rnacentral:rRNA from 1 species